UACGUGGGGGGCGAACGUUGUUCGGAGUCACUGGGCUUAAAGGGCGCGUAGGUGGCUGUGCAAGUAAGGUGUGAAAGCCCUCGGCUUACCCGGGGAAUUGCGCCUUAAACUGCAUGGCUUGAGGGAUUCAGGGGAAUGGGGAACUCCAGGUGUAGCGGUGAAAUGCGCAGAUAUCUGGGGGAAGGCCGGCGGCGAAGGCGCCAUUCUGGGAAUUUCCUGACACUGAGGCGCGAAAGCGUGGGGAGCAAACAGG
rnacentral:rRNA from 1 species